rnacentral:rRNA from 1 species
GAGGCCCCCGUAAUUGGAAUGACUACAAUUUAAAUCCUUUAAGAAGGAUCCAUUGGAGGGCAAGUCUGGUGCCAGCAGCCGCGGUAAUUCCAGCUCCAAUAGCGUAUAUUAAAGUUGCUGCAGUUAAAAAGCUCGUAGUUGGAUCUCAGUUACGGGCAGGUGGUUCACUUUACAGUGCUACUACCUGAACCGAACCUAUUGCUGGAUCUCUUGGGUGCCCUUCACUGGGUGCCCCUUGAGACCAGAGCGUUUACUUUGAGAAAAUUAGAGUGCUCAAAGCAGGCGAAUGCUUGAAUAGUUGUGCAUGGAAUAAUGAAAUAUGGCCUCGGUACUGUUUUGUUGGUUCACGGUGCUCGAGGUAAUGGUUGAAAGGGACUGACGGGGGCAUUCGUAUUGCGACGUUAGAGGUGAAAUUCUUAGAUCGUCGCAAGACGGACUACUGCGAAAGCAUUUGCCAAGAAUGUCUUCAUUAAUCAAGAACGAAAGUCAGAGGUUCGAAGGCGAUCAGAUACCGCCCUAGUUCUGACCUUAAACGAUGCUAACUGGCGAUCCAGUGGGGGUAUUUAAAAUGACCUGCUGGGCAGCUUCUGGGAAACCAAAGUUUUUGGGUUCCGGGGGAAGUAUGGUUGCAAAGCUGGAACUUAAAGGAAUUGACGGAAGGGCACCACCAGGAGUGGAGCCUGUGGCUUAAUUUGACUCAACACGGGAACC